GCUGCUGUGAAGUAAUGGAGAUCUUAUUCCCAUCCACGAUAUCCAAGGGUAUAAUCCGGCAGUGCUGUAAAAUGAGGCAGAGUAACGGUACCAUUACGUACUCCCCAGCGUCCCCUGGGCUGGGAUUUUCUAUGUUUAAGGCGAGUUUCAUUGGGGUAGACCCUGUUGGCUUGCAUAAGGUCAUUCUGUAUAAUAAGGGUUUCCC